CUUGAGGGAGCCGAGCCAGAGGGGGCGGUCCGCGGCGCGGUCCUGGCCGUAGGUCGCCAGGAGUGCCUGGGCCUC
rnacentral:antisense_RNA from 1 species